UGGACAUCAAACAGCUCCCCACAUACCUGCAUCAUGCCGCAGUGAGCACUGACCCAUGUCCAGCAUGGCAGACCUCAAUGCAUUCCUGACUGACGCACACGCGCAGCGUAUUCACAGGACACUACUUGGACCUUACGGCACCUGCACACAAGGGAACACCAGCGACGGGAUCCAGCAGGUGGCACUCUAGUGCAUGUUAAGGCACCUUGAUCGCUUACGGUACCUGGUUUUCUCAGUACGUCUCCCAGCCAAAUCCUUAUCACCGAUACUUCGAUACCACUACUUGUUUCAUACGGCACCUCCACACUAGAACAUGACAGGAUAUUAGGUGGCAAGAUACCCUGUAGCUUGGGUGCAUUCUGCUGUUGACUGGGAGUGCCUGGAUGCCCAGCCGCGGCAUGACGACCAGGAGUAUGCAGUGUGCGGUGACUGCACAGAUCACGUCUGCUGCCAUGGCUUUCCCAGGACCGUCCACUGCCUGGUGCUCCUGCUGCCUCAUGUUGCAUGUGGCAAUGCAGCUCACAUGUGGCCAAGCUGGGCUGGUUGUGGGAAGCAAACAUGGCUGCAGAGCAGCUCCCUGCAGUCCCAAAGAAGGAGGAGCAGAGUGCCUAGCUGGGAGGAGGCCACUGGAGCACCCAUGGCAGCUGUUUUUUCAGGAAUCUGCACUCCAGCACUGCCCUACAUGUGAUGGUGAACCUGGGUGAGUCCCCUCCGUCCUUAAUAUAAAAUCAGUUAUCACU